rnacentral:rRNA from 1 species
GACAGAGGGUGCAAACGUUGUUCGGAAUUACUGGGCUUAAAGCGUGCGUAGGCGGCUCAGAAAGUUGGGUGUGAAAGCCCUCGGCUCAACCGAGGAAUUGCGCUCAAAACUACUGAGCUUGAGGGAGAUAGGGGAGAGCGGAACUGAUGGUGGAGCGGUGAAAUGCGUUGAUAUCAUCAGGAACACCGGUGGCGAAGGCGGCUCUCUGGAUCUCUUCUGACGCUGAGGCACGAAAGCUAGGGGAGCAAACGGG